rnacentral:rRNA from 1 species
UGGGGAAUAUUGGACAAUGGGCGAAAGCCUGAUCCAGCCAUGCCGCGUGUGUGAAGAAGGUCUUCGGAUUGUAAAGCACUUUAAGUUGGGAGGAAGGGCAGUAACCUAAUACGUUGCUGUCUUGACGUUACCGACAGAAUAAGCACCGGCUAACUCUGUGCCAGCAGCCGCGGUAAUACAGAGGGUGCAAGCGUUAAUCGGAAUUACUGGGCGUAAAGCGCGCGUAGGUGGUUUGUUAAGUUGGAUGUGAAAUCCCCGGGCCAACCUGGGAACUGCAUUCAAAACUGACAAGCUAGAGUAUGGUAGAGGGUGGUGGAAUUUCCUGUGUAGCGGUGAAAUGCGUAGAUAUAGGAAGGAACACCAGUGGCGAAGGCGACCACCUGGACUGAUACUGACACUGAGGUGCGAAAGCGUGGGGAGCAAACAGGAUUAGAUACCCGUGUAGUCCCUGAGCGGGCUGGCAAGGCGCAU